rnacentral:misc_RNA from 1 species
UGUGUGCUGUCAGUAUUGCAAGGGUAAGCAAUCUUUAAAUGAAAAUCCAGUAUUAAUGUCUGCUGUAUUUUCCUUGAUAAAAAAUGCAGGAUGUUGUUUCUUUAUUUGACUUUCUAGUGCAAUGCACUAUAGUUGCAGACUUUAACCUGAUAGAAUGGGCUUUAUCCUGAUAGAAUGGGCUUUAUCAAGUGAGGUAAUUAUGAUUAUGGUGUAAAUUUCAGGAUUUUUCCAUAAAAGGCAUGUG